rnacentral:tRNA from 1 species
GGGGUUGUGGCUCAGUGGUAGAGUGCUCGCCUGGCAUGCAUGAGGCACUGGGUUUGAUCCUCAGCACCA